GACAGAGGGUGCAAACGUUGCUCGGAAUUACUGGGCGUAAAGCGCGUGUAGGCGGGUCGGUGUGUCGGACGUGAAAUCCCUAGGCUCAACCUAGGAACUGCGCCCGAAACUGCCGAUCUUGAGUGGUGGAGAGGGAAGUGGAAUUCCUGGUGUAGAGGUGAAAUUCGUAGAUAUCAGGAGGAACACCAGUGGCGAAGGCGGCUUCCUGGACACCAACUGACGCUGAGACGCGAAAAGCGUUGGGGGAGCAAACAGG
rnacentral:rRNA from 1 species